GAUGAACGCUGGCGGCGUGCCUAAUACAUGCAAGUCGAGCGAAUGGAUUGAGAGCUUGCUCUUAUGAAGUUAGCGGCGGACGGGUGAGUAACACGUGGGUAACCUGCCCAUAAGACUGGGAUAACUCCGGGAAACCGGGGCUAAUACCGGAUAACAUUUUGAACCGCAUGGUUCGAAAUUGAAAGGCGGCUUCGGCUGUCACUUAUGGAUGGACCCGCGUAGCAUUAGCUAGUUGGUGAGGUAACGGCUCACCAAGGCAACGAUGCGUAGCCGACCUGAGAGGGUGAUCGGCCACACUGGGACUGAGACACGGCCCAGACUCCUACGGGAGGCAGCAGUAGGGAAUCUUCCGCAAUGGACGAAAGGCUGACGGAGCAACGCCGCGUGAGUGAUGAAGGCUUUCGGGUCGUAAAACUCUGUUGUUAGGGAAGAACAAGUGCUAGUUGAAUAAGCUGGCACCUUGACGGUACCUAACCAGAAAGCCACGGCUAACUACGUGCCAGCCGCCGCCGUAA
rnacentral:rRNA from 1 species